CUGUAAUUUAUUAGAUCACCAAAUCAGCAGGUGCUGAGAGGAAGCUAGCAUGUCUUUGGGGAUAAAUUGCUGGAGAGAAUCAUGAUACAUACAAUUAACAGAGAAGAGAAAUGAAAUUGGCAGCACCAUGGGAAACCCAACACUUGGAUGAACAGCAGUGCAUAUGGUGAAUAUGGGGGAAGAAUUCUGAAGCUGUAAUUCAGGAAUGAAUUGAAAUACUCAUUGUUCUUCCAUCCUGAUGCAAGACUUGAUGCUUUAACACCAUUAUCCUUCCAAUCUGGACACUCAGACACCGGCUCAAGAAGCAAGGCAGAGGACUACUCGGAGGCCAAGAUGCCUGGCUCGAGGAGUGCAAACCCAUGCCAUUUCCAGAAGCAUUAGACAAUUCUUCCUGGCAAUAGCUAGUAGUUACUAGAGACUGUGUUUGCUAAAGGUUAGAACACCCACAUGAGAAACAAAUGCUCCUCCCAUGAGCAUUGAGUUGACUCUCACACAU
rnacentral:lncRNA from 1 species